UUGCGAACGGGUGAGUAACGCGUAGGUAACCUGCCUGGUACGGGGGAGUAACUAUUGGAAACGAUAGCUAAUACCGCAUAAGAGUAGAUGUUGCAUGAUACAGUGUGAAAAACUCCGGUGGUACAAGAUGGACCCGCGUCUGAUUAGCUAGUUGGUAAGGUAACGGCUUACCAAGGCGACGAUCAGUAGCCGACCUGAGAGGGUGACCGGCCACAUUGGGACUGAGACACGGCCCAA
rnacentral:rRNA from 1 species